rnacentral:rRNA from 1 species
AUGGGCUCUCGCGGUCUGCCUCGCGGCAAGUACUGUGCGGGCCCGUGUCCCUCGGCGGUGAACCUCGAUGCCGUUUAUUCGGUGUCCUGGCGAACCGCCUCUGUUACCUUGAGAAAAUUAGAGUGUUCAAAGCAGGCGUAUGCCCGAAUACAUUAGCAUGGAAUAAUAAAAUAGGACGGCAUGGUUCUAUUUUGUUGGUUUCUAGGAUCACCGUA